UACGAAGGGGGCUAGCGUUGUUCGGAAUUACUGGGCGUAAAGCGCGCGCAGGCGGUCCUUCAAGUCAGAGGUGAAAGCCCAGAGCUCAACUCUGGAAUGGCCUUUGAGACUAGAGGACUUGGGUACGGGAGAGGUGAGUGGAAUUCCGAGUGUAGAGGUGAAAUUCGUAGAUAUUCGGAAGAACACCAGUGGCGAAGGCGGCUCACUGGCCCGGUACUGACGCUGAGGUGCGAAAGCGUGGGGAGCAAACAGG
rnacentral:rRNA from 1 species